rnacentral:rRNA from 1 species
GCUCGUAGUUGAAUUUCUGACUUCGGAUGUCGGUCUGCCCCAAGGGGUUGGUACCUGACUGUUCGGAGUCAUCCUCGAGAUGAAGAUGUCUGUCAUUAAGUUGAUGGGCAUGGGAUUCUCGUCAUUUACUGUGAGUAAAAUAGAGUGUUCAAAGCAGACAUUAUGUCAAUGAAUACGUUAGCAUGGAAUAAUAAGAUAGGACCUUGGUCUAUUUUGUUGGUUUGACUCCAAGGUAAUGAUUAAUAGGGACAGUUGGGGGUAUUCGUAUUCAAUUGUCAGAGGUGAAAUUCUUGGAUUUAUGGAAGACGAACUACUGCGAAAGCAUUUACCAAGGAUGUUUUCAUUAAUCAAGAACGAAAGUUAGGGGAUCGAAGAUGAUUAGAUACCAUCGUAGUCUUAACCAUAAACUAUGCCGACUAGGGAUUGGUGGUUGUUUUAACUGACUCCAUCAGCAC